rnacentral:rRNA from 1 species
GGUGAAAAGCACCCCGGAAGGGGAGUGAAAUAGAACCUGAAACCGUGUGCUUACAAGUAGUCAGAGCCCGUUAAUGGGUGAUGGCGUGCCUUUUGUAGAAUGAACCGGCGAGUUACGAUUUGAUGCAAGGUUAAGCAGUAAAUGUGGAGCCGUAGCGAAAGCGAGUCUGAAUAGGGCGUUUAGUAUUUGGUCGUAGACCCGAAACCAGGUGAUCUACCCUUGGUCAGGUUGAAGUUCAGGUAACACUGAAUGGAGGACCGAACCGACUUACGUUGAAAAGUGAGCGGAUGAACUGAGGGUAGCGGAGAAAUUCCAAUCGAACCUGGAGAUAGCUGGUUCUCUCCGAAAUAGCUUUAGGGCUAGCCUCAAGUGAUGAUUAUUGGAGGUAGAGCACUGUUUGGACGAGGGGCCCCUCUCGGGUUACCGAAUUCAGACAAACUCCGAAUGCCAAUUAAUUU